CGAGAUCCGGGGAUAACACCUGGGAACAGAUGCUAAUACCGGGAUAACAACAGAUGAUGCCUAUCAACUGUUUAAAAGAUGGUUCUGCUAUCACUCUUGGGAUGGACCCUGCGGUGCAUUAGCUAGUUGGUAGGGUAACGGCCUACCAAGGCGAUGAUGCAUAGCCGAGUUGAGAGACUGAUCGGCCACAUUGGGACUGAGACACGGCCCAAACUCCUACGGGAGGCAGCAGUAGGGAAUCUUCCACAAUGGACGCAAGUCUGAUGGAGCAACGCCGCGUGAGUGAAGAAGGGUUUCGGCUCGUAAAGCUCUGUUGUUGGUGAAGAAGGAUAGAGGUAGUAACUGGCCUUUAUUUGACGGUAAUCAACCAGAAAGUCACGGCUAACUACGUGCCAGCAGCCGCGGUAAU
rnacentral:rRNA from 1 species